AAAUUGAAGAGUUUGAUCAUGGCUCAGAUUGAACGCUGGCGGCAGGCCUAACACAUGCAAGUCGAACGGUAACAGGAAUCAGCUUGCUGAUUCGCUGACGAGUGGCGGACGGGUGAGUAAUGUCUGGGAAACUGCCUGAUGGAGGGGGAUAACUACUGGAAACGGUAGCUAAUACCGCAUAAUGUCGCAAGACCAAAGAGGGGGACCUUCGGGCCUCUUGCCAUCGGAUGUGCCCAGAUGGGAUUAGCUUGUUGGUG
rnacentral:rRNA from 1 species